CACCUAGCAACCGCACCAGGAGCCAUGUUGGAAGACCAAUCAGUCUGUUGGAAGUCCUCCAAUAGUCCAAAUGGCUGGCUGUGUUCUGCUAUCGCUGGAAACUUCGGGAAGAUUGCCCAUUAUUUUGUUUUUCUAAGGACCCAGAAAACGGAGGCAUUGAGCGAACCUAUUCAAAUAUAGAGAGCCGUGAAACCCUGUCUGCAGCUGAAGAGGUCCCAAUGAAUGUCCCAAGAGAAUAAAGGGGCCUCCCGAGUGGCGUAGCGGUCUAAGGCACUGCAUCGC